UACGGGGGGGGCAAGCGUUGUUCGGAAUUACUGGGCGUAAAGGGCUCGUAGGCGGCCAACUAAGUCAGACGUGAAAUCCCUCGGCUUAACCGGGGGAACUGCGUCUGAUACUGGAUGGCUUGAGUUUGGGAGAGGGACGCGGAAUUCCAGGUGUAGCGGUGAAAUGCGUAGAUAUCUGGAGGAACACCGGUGGCGAAGGCGGCGUCCUGGACCAACACUGACACUGAUGAGCGAAAGCCAGGGGAGCAAACGGG
rnacentral:rRNA from 1 species